rnacentral:rRNA from 1 species
CCUACGGGUGGCAGCAGUGAGGAAUAUUGGUCAAUGGACGCAAGUCUGAACCAGCCAUGCCGCGUGCAGGAUGACGGCUCUAUGAAUUUUAAACUCCUUUUGUACGAGGGUAAACCCCGAUACGUGUAUCGGAUUGACAGUAUCGUACGAAUCAGGAUCGGCGAACUCCGUGCCAGCAGCCGAGGUAAUACGGAGGUUCCGAGCGUUCUACGGAUUUAUUGGGUGUAAAGGGUGCGUAGGCGGUUUGAUAAGUUCGAGGUGAAAUGUCGGGGCUCAACCCCGAAACUGCCUCUAAUACUGUUGGACUAGAGUAUAGGUGAGGUAAGCGGAAUGUAUGGUGUAGCGGUGAAAUGCUUAGAGAUCAUGAAGAACACCGAUUGCGAAGGCAGCUUACCAAACUGUAUCUGACGUUGAGGCACGAAAGCGUGGGUAGCAAACAGGAUUAGAUACCCCAGUAGUC